AUUGAACGCUGGCGGAAUGCUUUACACAUGCAAGUCGAACGGCAGCACGGACUUCGGUCUGGUGGCGAGUGGCGAACGGGUGAGUAAUGUAUCGGAACGUGCCCAGUCGUGGGGGAUAACGUAGUGAAAAUUACGCUAAUACCGCAUACGAUCUAUGGAUGAAAGCGGGGGAUCGCAAGACCUCGCGCGAUUGGAGCGGCCGAUAUCAGAUUAGGUAGUUGGUGGGGUAAAGGCCCACCAAGCCAACGAUCUGUAGCUGGUCUGAGAGGACGACCAGCCACACUGGAACUGAGACACGGUCCAGACUCCUACGGGAGGCAGCAGUGGGGAAUUUUGGACAAUGGGCGGAAGCCUGAUUCAGCCAUUCCGCGUGCAGGAUGAAGGCCCUCGGGUUGUAGACUGCUUUUGUACAGAACGAAAAGGUUUCUACUAAUACUAGGAGCUCAUGACGGUACUGUAAGAAUAAGCACCGGCUAACUACGUGCCAGCCGCCGCCGUAA
rnacentral:rRNA from 1 species